AGGGUUUGAUCAUGGCUCAGAACGAACGCUGGUGGCGUGCUUAACACAUGCAAGUCGAACGAGAAAGUUUCCUUCGGGAAAUUAGUAAAGUGGCGCAAGGGUGAGUAUCACGUGAAUAAUCUGCCCUCGAGAUCGGGAUAACAUGGUGAAAACUAUGCUAAUACCGGAUAAGACCACAUUUCAUAAGAAAUGCGGUAAAAGGAGUCUCAAUCUUCACUCGAGGAUGAGUUCGCGCAACAUUAGCUUGUUGGUGGGAUAAAAGCUCACCAAGGCUACGAUGUUUAGCCGGCCUGAGAGGGUGAUCGGCCACACUGGAACUGAGACACGGUCCAGACUCCUACGGGAGGCAGCAGUGGGGAAUAUUGCGCAAUGGGCGAAAGCCUGACGCAGCAACGCCGUGUGAGCGAUGAAGGCUUUAGGGUCGUAAAGCUCUGUCAAAUGGGAAGAAUUUUGACGGUACCAUUAGAGGAAGCCCCGGCUAACUCCGUGCCAGCAGCCGCGGUAAUACGGAGGGGGCAAGCGUUGUUCGGAAUUAUUGGGCGUAAAGCGUAUGUAGGCGGUUAAACAAGUCAGGCG
rnacentral:rRNA from 1 species